rnacentral:rRNA from 1 species
ACGAACGCUGGCGGCAUGCCUAACACAUGCAAGUCGAACGAGAUCGCUGACUUCGGUUGGCGGUCUAGUGGCGAACGGGUGCGUAACACGUGGGUGAUCUGCCCUGCACUCUGGGAUAAGCCUGGGAAACUGGGUCUAAUACUGGAUAUGACCUGCUCUCGCAUGGGGGUGGGUGGAAAGAUUUAUCGGUGCAGGAUGGGCCCGCGGCCUAUCAGCUUGUUGGUGGGGUAAUGGCCUACCAAGGCGACGACGGGUAGCCGACCUGAGAGGGUGACCGGCCACACUGGGACUGAGACACGGCCCAGACUCCUACGGGAGGCAGCAGUGGGGAAUAUUGCACAAUGGUCGGAAGCCUGAUGCAGCGACGCCGCGUGAGGGAUGAAGGCCUUCGGGUUGUAAACCUCUUUCAGCAGGGACGAAGCGUGAGUGACGGUACCUGCAGAAGAAGCACCGGCUAACUACGU